rnacentral:lncRNA from 1 species
AGGGUUGGCCACCUUGAGAAGCUGCGAAGAUGGCGGAGUAAGGCGUGCCGCUGCAAACUGGCCUCUGGGCCGGGGGCGAGCAGCCCCCGGGAGGCCGAGUGCAUCUGUUGGACCGUGCGAGGAGAAUUGCUUGAAUCCGGGAGGCGGAGGUUGCAGUGAACUGAGAUUGCACCACUGCACUCCAGCCUGGGCGACAGAGUGAGACUCCGUCUCAGAAAAAUAAAAAACAACUUUGGACAUAGAGGAGUUGGGGGCAGAGGGGGGAGGAUGAGAGAAUUUUCCAUGUAACUCCUUUUCCUUAAGAAAAAGAAGCAAAAAUCCCUCAUGCAGUGCCAUCUGACUUUAUGGUGUUUCACAUUAUAUAGUUACUUUUUUUAAUAAACGCAUAAGAUUAACUCUUCCUGCAACCCAAGGUGGAUACUUGGAUGUUUGAUUUUUAUUUAUUUAUUUAUUUAUUUUUUGAGGCAGUCUCUCUCUGUUGCCCAGGCUGGAGUGAUGCGUGAUUUCUGCUCACUGCAGUCUCUCCCACCCGGGUUCAAGCGAUUCUCCUGCCUCAGCCUCCCAAGUAGCUAGGAUUACAGGCGCGCACCACCACGCUCAGCCUGAUUUCUAGGCUGAAAAGGCUGGGACUCAGGUACUUUCCCCAGUUGGGACUGAACUUUCUCAUCAGAGAAUGGGCCUCAGAAGCAAUGUUCCCAAACUUGUGGUUGGGUCAUCGUGGAAAAGAAACCUCAAAUAAGAAAAAUAAUUACAAUAAGAAAUGGAUUUUCUUUUUUCCCACAACAGUUAUACAUUAUAAAGAACAGACUGUCGUAGAAAACUGUCUUUGCUUCCAAAUCAGCAGAGGACCAUUGUAUGUAUUGUCAGGUCUUUAUAUAAGAGUGAAACCUUUAUUUAUGCUUCUUGUGAGUAGAGAAUAAAUUUUAAAACUAAUUAGAUGAAAUUAA